rnacentral:rRNA from 1 species
AUUGAACGCUGGCGGCAGGCCUAACACAUGCAAGUCGAGCGGCAGCGGGAAAGUAGCUUGCUACUUUUGCCGGCGAGCGGCGGACGGGUGAGUAAUGCCUGGGAAAUUGCCCAGUCGAGGGGGAUAACAGUUGGAAACGACUGCUAAUACCGCAUACGCCCGACGGGGGAAAGCAGGGGACCUUCGGGCCUUGCGCGAUUGGAUAUGCCCAGGAGGGAUUAGCUUGUUGGUGAGGUAAUGGCUCACCAAGGCGACGAUCCCUAGCUGGUCUGAGAGGAUGAUCAGCCACACUGGAACUGAGACACGGUCCAGACUCCUACGGGAGGCAGCAGUGGGGAAUAUUGCACAAUGGGGGAAACCCUGAUGCAGCCAUGCCGCGUGUGUGAAGAAGGCCUUCGGGUUGUAAAGCACUUUCAGCGAGGAGGAAAGGUUGAUGCCUAAUACGCAUCAGCUGUGACGUUACUCGCAGAAGAAGCACCGGCUAACUCCGUGCCAGCAGCCGCGGUAAAAC